AAUAGAUACCCGGGUAGUCCACGCCGUAAACGAUGAGUGCUAAGUGUUAGGGGGUUUCCGCCCCUUAGUGCUGCAGCUAACGCAUUAAGCACUCCGCCUGGGGAGUACGGUCGCAAGACUGAAACUCAAAGGAAUCGACGGGGGCCCGCACAAGCGGUGGAGCAUGUGGUUUAAUUCGAAGCAACGCGAAGAACCUUACCAGGUCUUGACAUCCCAUUGACCGCUAUGGAGACAUAGCUUUCCCUUCGGGGACAGUGGUGACAGGUGGUGCAUGGUUGUCGUCAGCUCGUGUCGUGAGGUGUUGGGUUAAGUCCCGCAACGAGCGCAACCCUUGUUCUUAGUUGCCAUCAUUUAGUUGGGCACUCUAAGGAGACUGCCGGUGACAAACCGGAGGAAGGUGGGGAUGACGUCAAAUCAUCAUGCCCCUUAUGACCUGGGCUACACACGUGCUACAAUGGACGGUACAAACGGUUGCCAACCCGCGAGGGGGAGCUAAUCCGAUAAAACCGUUCUCAGUUCGGAUUGUAGGCUGCAACUCGCCUACA
rnacentral:rRNA from 1 species